AUGGCUAUCUUGCAAAUGGUGGUUGUGGCUUUCCUGGGGAUGAAGAAACCACCGGGAAGAAGUGUGGAAAGAUCGCGAAAGGAAGCACUGGAAAAGUUUCUCUCCCGAAGGGGGCUGAUUAGGGGCAAGGGCAAAAAGGUCAUUUCCAGUAUGUCAAACCAUAGUGAAAAUGAUACCAAUAGAACGGAUUCGACGAGACGAAGAAGUAGGCUUUGGAUUCACCUCAAUCGGAGUCUUGAGCAAAAAGUUGUGAUAGUUUUUCUGCCAGGGACCCAUCUGCAAAUAAACCUUCACAAACCAGGCCCUGACUGA
rnacentral:rRNA from 1 species